CGGAACUUGGCGCGGCGCUGUCAAAGUUUGUCGGACGCGGACGCUGUGUUACUCGCGCUGCCUUGCAAUAAAAACGAUGAGAUAUUAAA